rnacentral:rRNA from 1 species
GGCAGUGCGGGUGCUAUACAUGCAAGUCGAGCGGACAGAUGGGAGCUUGCUCCCUGAUGUUAGCGGCGGACGGGUGAGUAACACGUGGGUAACCUGCCUGUAAGACUGGGAUAACUCCGGGAAACCGGGGCUAAUACCGGAUGGUUGUCUGAACCGCAUGGUUCAGACAUAAAAGGUGGCUUCGGCUACCACUUACAGAUGGACCCGCGGCGCAUUAGCUAGUUGGUGAGGUAACGGCUCACCAAGGCGACGAUGCGUAGCCGACCUGAGAGGGUGAUCGGCCACACUGGGACUGAGACACGGCCCAGACUCCUACGGGAGGCAGCAGUAGGGAAUCUUCCGCAAUGGACGAAAGUCUGACGGAGCAACGCCGCGUGAGUGAUGAAGGUUUUCGGAUCGUAAAGCUCUGUUGUUAGGGAAGAACAAGUGCCGUUCAAAUAGGGCGGCACCUUGACGGUACCUAACCAGAAAGCCACGGCUAACUACGUGCCAGCAGCCGCGGUAAUACGUAGGUGGCAAGCGUUGUCCGGAAUUAUUGGGCGUAAAGGGCUCGCAGGCGGUUUCUUAAGUCUGAUGUGAAAGCCCCCGGCUCAACCGGGGAGGGUCAUUGGAAACUGGGGAACUUGAGUGCAGAAGAGGAGAGUGGAAUUCCACGUGUAGCGGUGAAAUGCGUAGAGAUGUGGAGGAACACCAGUGGCGAAGGCGACUCUCUGGUCUGUAACUGACGCUGAGGAGCGAAAGCGUGGGGAGCGAACAGGAUUAGAUACCCUGGGUAGUCCAA